AGUGAACGCUGGCGGUAGGCCUAACACAUGCAAGUCGAACGGCAGCACAGUAAGAGCUUGCUCUUACGGGUGGCGAGUGGCGGACGGGUGAGGAAUACAUCGGAAUCUACUUUUUCGUGGGGGAUAACGUAGGGAAACUUACGCUAAUACCGCAUACGACCUACGGGUGAAAGCAGGGGAUCUUCGGACCUUGCGCGAUUGAAUGAGCCGAUGUCGGAUUAGCUAGUUGGCGGGGUAAAGGCCCACCAAGGCGACGAUCCGUAGCUGGUCUGAGAGGAUGAUCAGCCACACUGGAACUGAGACACGGUCCAGACCCCUACGGGAGGCAGCAGUGGGGAAUAUUGGACAAUGGGCGAAAGCCUGAUCCAGCCAUACCGCGUGGGUGAAGAAGGCCUUCGGGUUGUAAAGCCCUUUUGUUGGGAAAGAAAAGCAGCAGGUUAAUACCCCGCUGUUCUGACGGUACCCAAAGAAUAAGCACCGGCUAACUUCGUG
rnacentral:rRNA from 1 species